AGGCCCCUUCCUUGCCUCUUCCAGCUUCUGGUGGCCCCAGGCCAUCCCUGGCUUGCAGAUACGUGGCUCCCAUCUCUGCCUCGGUCUUCACAUGGGGCCUCCCGUCUAUGUCUCUCUGUGUGUCCCGUCCUCUUUUUACAGGGACACCAGUCAUUGGAUAAGGGCUAAUGAUCCUAAUCCAGUGUGAGCUCAUCUUAAUUAAUUACAUCUGCAAAUGCCCCAUCUCCAGUUGCAGAGUCAAACCCAUCCUGGUAUCAACCUGCUUUUAGUACUUCCAGAUUCGUAAGUCAAGAAAUCCUCCUUCCUGCUUGUACCAGUUGGCAGUGGGUUUUCUGGCAUUUGUACCUGCUGCUCCAGGCCCUACACCAGUACCCACAAAGUCCAGAAGAGGAGUGAGAUGAUUUUUGUUCCCACACACUGAGUGAGAGCUCCAAGGCUGAUUUUGACCGGAUGUUCUCAAUCCAGGCAACCACCAUUCUACUCUCUGUUUGAAUGAGUUUGAAACAUCCACAUCUGAGUGAGGUCAAUGCCGGUGAACAGAGAGACAGAGGGAAAGAAUUUCAGAAUAUCCUUAAAAAUCGCAGCACCUGGCAGAUCCUGCCUCACACCUCAAGGGCCUGUGUGGGGUCCUAGGUUCAUCCCUGAUCCAUCUCAGAGGUGCGGCGAUCACUGAUCCAUCUCGGAGACUUUUGAGCUUGGACCUGACAUUUGCCACUUCCUCUCCUCCUCACUGGAGACAGAGUGCAAUCUGUUUCUGCAAAGCAAGAGCACUUUAAGAGGGUGGAAGGGCACUCAUCUGUGUCAGGGUCAUGUCUGUGUGCAGAUCCCCCAAGGUCAUUGUUGAGAGAAAGGGGAAGAUGUUGGGGAGGCCGGGCAAGCAUGUGCCGGCUACCCUCACACUUGCACAUAGCAUAUGUCAAGUCACCUAAAGGAAACCUGAAUGAUAUGAUCAGAGACUCUGCAUAGGAUUACUUACUGGUGGUGCCCUGGGUUGAACACAGAGGUCGCCAAAGCAGGACCAGCCAUCAUGGCGAUAGAGGCCCCAUGCAGAUAAACCCUGUGCAUGAAAAACCUAGGAUUUUAGAACAAAUUGAGAAGGAGGUCAGGCAUUCAAGACCAGCCUGGCCAACAUGGUGAAACCCCGUCUCUACUAAAAAUA
rnacentral:lncRNA from 1 species